rnacentral:rRNA from 1 species
AUGCAAGGGGACCAGGCGGAGAAGAGGGGGAAGGUGAAGAAGGGGUGGCUGGCGGUGCGGGUCGGCCAGGCCCAGGCGGAGCAGCAGGGCGACGGGUUCCGGCGGUUCGUCAUCCCCAUCGCCUACCUCUACCACCCGCUCUUCCAGCGGCUUCUGGAGGCGGCCCGGGACACGUACGGCUACAACUCGGCCGGCCCGCUCUGGCUGCCCUGCCCCGUCGACGAGUUCCUCCGCCUGCGCGCGCUCGUCGACCGGGAGACGGCGCACUCGCACUCCUCCUCCUCCUCGCACCGCGUGCACGUGCAGGCCGGUGGCCACCACCAGCAGCACGGCUACUCCUUCGCCCCGUGCACCCGCGCCAGGGUCACCUCCUGA